GCCCUCAUCGUCUAGUGGUCCAGGACAUCUCGAUUUCAAUGAGUUAACGAGGAUUCGACUUCCUCUGAGGGUA
rnacentral:tRNA from 1 species